rnacentral:misc_RNA from 1 species
GAUGAAGAACGCAGCGAAAUGCGAUAAGUAAUGUGAAUUGCAGAAUUCAGUGAAUCAUCGAAUCUUUGAACGCACCUUGCGCCCUUUGGCUAUUCCGAAGGGCAUGCCUGUUUGAGUAUCGUGAACACCUCAACUCUCAUGGUUUGCCAUGAUGAGCUUGGACUUUGGGGGUUUUGCUGGCCUUUGGUCGGCUCCUCUCAAACGGAUCAGCUUUCCAGUGUUUGGUGGCGUCACGGGUGUGAUAACUAUCUACGCCUGUGGUUUUCUGCCAGAUAACCUUCAGCGAUGGAGGUUCGCUGGGGCUCAUAAAUGUCUCUCUUCAGUGGAGACAGCUUUUUGGACGUUUGAUCUCAAAUCAGGUAGGACUACCCGCUGAACUUAAGCAUACAAUAAGCGGAGGA